rnacentral:rRNA from 1 species
AUGGAUGCCGUCGACUCCGUGGUGGACCCCCUCCGCGAGUUCGCCAAGGACAGCGUCCGCCUCGUCAAGCGCUGCCACAAGCCCGACCGCAAGGAUAAGGACCAAAGACUCGCGCCUGCUCGUCCGGAUCCGGUUCGUUUUCCUCUUUCACCAGAUCUGACGCUGAUUCGGCGCGCAGAGUUCACCAAGGUGGCGGCGCGGACAGCGAUCGGGUUCGUCGUCAUGGGGUUCGUCGGCUUCUUCGUCAAGCUCAUCUUCAUCCCCAUCAACAACAUCAUCGUCAGCUCCGGCUAG